AAGUCUAUAAACGUCGGGGAGCAAAUUUUCGCCCUGACCCGAAACAUAACUUACCGGGCAGCGUUCGGGUCAGCUUGCGAAAAGGGACAAGACGAGUUCAUAAGAAUCUUACAAGAGUUCUCUAAGCUUUUUGGAGCCUUCAACGUAGCAGAUUUCAUACCAUAUUUCGGGUGGAUCGAUCCACAAGGGAUAAACAAGCGCCUCGUGAAGGCCCGUAAUGAUCUAGACGGAUUUAUUGACGAUAUCAUCGACGAACAUAUGAAGAAGAAAGAGAAUCAAAACACUGUUGAUGAUGGAUAUGUUGGUGAUACCGAUAUGGUUGAUGAUCUUCUUGCUUUUUACAGUGAAGAGGCCAAAUUAGUGAGCGAGACAACGGAUCUUCAGAAUUCUAUCAAACUUACCCGUGACAAUAUCAAAGCAAUCAUCAUGGUAAUUUCUUUUUCAAAAGACCAAUAGGCACAUUCAUUAUUCUUAAUGCGACACCAUCGAACUUAUCCAUCAAACCACUAGAUUCAUAUUUUUGUCUAAAUGAGGAAGGUAACUUUCUGUAUUUACAAGUAGUCCAUAUGAUAUUAGAGAUUUUGCGUAAGCAUUAGGGGAAAAUGACGUCAUUUACUGAUAGUAAAAACUCAUAAAAAUAUAAAGUUUUAGAAAAAACCUAAAAUACGAAACAUGUAAAAAACACGUACAAAGGUAAUAUAAAUCACACGUAAAUAUAAUCUGACCGUCUUUGAGCUAACAAUUUAUUUCUGUUUACGUUUUAAAAUCUAAUUUGAAUUGAUUUAUUGAAUUUAAUAGGACGUCAUGUUCGGAGGAACGGAAACGGUAGCGUCGGCAAUAGAGUGGGCCUUAACGGAGUUAUUACGGAGCCCCGAGGAUCUAAAACGGGUCCAACAAGAACUCGCAGAAGUUGUCGGACUUGACCGACGUCUGGAAGAAUCAGACAUCGAGAAGUUGACUUUUCUGAAAUGCACACUCAAAGAAACCCUAAGGCUACACCCACCGAUCCCACUCCUCCUCCACGAAACCGCAGAGGACACUGAGAUCGAUGGUUACUUCGUUCCCAAGAGAUCUCGCGAAGAGUUCUCUAAGCUUUUUGGAGCCUUCAACGUAGCAGAUUUCAUACCAUAUUUUGGGUGGAUCGAUCCACAAGGGAUAAGCAAGCGGCUCGUGAAGGCCCGUAAUGAUCUAGACGGAUUUAUUGACGAUAUCAUCGACGAACAUAUGAAGAAGAAAGAGAAUCAAAACACUGUUGAUGAUGGAUAUGUUGGUGAUACCGAUAUGGUUGAUGAUCUUCUUGCUUUUUACAGUGAAGAGGCCAAAUUAGUGAGCGAGACAACGGAUCUUCAGAAUUCUAUCAAACUUACCCGUGACAAUAUCAAAGCAAUCAUCAUGGUAAUUUCUUUUUCA
rnacentral:lncRNA from 1 species